rnacentral:rRNA from 1 species
UACGAAGGGGGCUAGCGUUGCUCGGAAUCACUGGGCGUAAAGCGCACGUAGGCGGCUUCUUAAGUCAGGGGUGAAAUCCUGGAGCUCAACUCCAGAACUGCCUUUGAUACUGGGAAGCUCCGAGUCCGGAAGAGGUGAGUGGAACUGCGAGUGUAGAGGUGAAAUUCGUAGAUAUUCGCAAGAACACCAGUGGCGAAGGCGGCUCACUGGUCCGGUACUGACGCUGAGGUGCGAAAGCGUGGGGAGCAAACAGG